UGGGGAAUAUUGCACAAUGGAUGGAACUCUGAUGCAGCGACGCCGCGUGAACGUAGAAGGCUUUCGAGUCGUAAAGUUCUUUUAUAUGGGAAGAUAAUGACGGUACCAUAAGAAAAAGCCCCGGCUAACUACGUGCCAGCAGCCGCGGUAAUACGUAGGGGGCUAGCGUUGUCCGGAAUCACUGGGCGUAAAGGGUUCGCAGGCGGAAAUGCAAGUCAGGUGUAAAAGGCAGUAGCUUAACUACUGUAAGCAUUUGAAACUGCAUAUCUUGAGAAGAGUAGAGGUAAGUGGAAUUUUUAGUGUAGCGGUGAAAUGCGUAGAUAUUAAAAAGAAUACCGGUGGCGAAGGCGACUUACUGGGCUCAUUCUGACGCUGAGGAACGAAAGCGUGGGUAGCAAACAGG
rnacentral:rRNA from 1 species